GAAUCCCCCAGGGGAAACUCUGGCGGGAACUGUGGAGUUUGGGACGCCAUUAGGCGGUCGUUCUCUGCGAAAAAGUCCCUCUGAUCGGGGCCUUUCCCAGAGUGAGUGUCGGGCCUUUGGGGGGGAGGGCGCUUCCGUCCCUCGAGCGUCCUCGGAGUCGGGUUGUUUGGGAAUGAAGCCCUAAGCGGGUGGUAAACUCCAUCUAAGGCUAAAAAACAGCACGAGUCCGAUAGCGAACAAGUACCGUGAGGGAAAGUUGAACAGAACUUUGAAGAGAGAGUUAAAGAGUCCGUGAAACCGUCUAGAGGCAAGCGUUUGGACCCGUCCAGUCGGCCCUCGGAAUUCAGCUUUUGGGAUCGUCGGCCGGUGUCGGGUGUUUAAACCAUUCCUAGGACCCGCUCGGUGCCGGACCGGAUUCCCAAAAGUGCACUUUCCGUGUUGGCAGAGCGUCGCGACCGGUUUUUGGGGGGUGAUAAGGCCCGGAGGAAGGUAGGUCGGAUGGGGUUUAUCUCUUUCCGACUGUUAUAGCCUCCGGGAGAUAGCCGCUCGGGGGACCGUGGAUCGACCCGCCGCAGGGCGGCAGGGACUCCUGCGUGCGUUCGACACUGAGGGACGCGCUUCGGCCGUGCCUCGGGACUGCGCUGCGUCGGAGAGCCAGGCCAUAGCCCGUGGUUCGCGUCAGGGUCAGCGACACACGAUCGGUCAUCCACCCGGCCCGUCUUGAAACACGGAC
rnacentral:rRNA from 1 species